rnacentral:rRNA from 1 species
UGGGGAAUUUUGGACAAUGGGGGAAACCCUGAUCCAGCCAUCCCGCGUGUGCGAUGAAGGCCUUCGGGUUGUAAAGCACUUUUGGCAGGAAAGAAACGUCGCGGGUUAAUACCCCGCGGAACUGACGGUACCUGCAGAAUAAGCACCGGCUAACUACGUGCCAGCAGCCGCGGUAAUACGUAGGGUGCAAGCGUUAAUCGGAAUUACUGGGCGUAAAGCGUGCGCAGGCGGUUCGGAAAGAAAGAUGUGAAAUCCCAGAGCUUAACUUUGGAACUGCAUUUUUAACUACCGGGCUAGAGUGUGUCAGAGGGAGGUGGAAUUCCGCGUGUAGCAGUGAAAUGCGUAGAUAUGCGGAGGAACACCGAUGGCGAAGGCAGCCUCCUGGGAUAACACUGACGCUCAUGCACGAAAGCGUGGGGAGCAAACAGG